GCAUCAAUAGUGCAACAGGUUAGAGCACGCGCUCCCGGAUAGAGUGAGAUAUAGGUUCAAGUCCUGCCUGAUGCA